UCGAGCGGGACAUUUCGGGUAGCAAUAUUCGGAAUGUUCAGCGGCGCAAGGGUGCGUAACACGUGGGUAAUCUACCUUGAAGCCCGGAAUAACUCCGAGAAAUCGGAGCUAAUACCGGAUGUGAUGUUGGGAUGGCAUCAUCCUGACAUCAAAGUUGGGGACCGUAAGGCCUGACACUUCUAGAUGAGCCCGCGGCCUAUCAGCUAGUUGGUGGGGUAACGGCUCACCAAGGCUAAGACGGGUAGCUGGUCUGAGAGGACGACCAGCCACACUGGAACUGAGACACGGUCCAGACACCUACGGGUGGCAGCAGUCGAGAAUUUUUCACAAUGGGCGCAAGCCUGAUGGAGCGACGCCGCGUGGGGGAUGAAUGGCUUCGGCCCGUAAACCCCUGUCAUUUGCGAACAAACCUUCCGACCUAACACGUCGGGAGCUGAUUGUAGCGGAAGAGGAAGGGACGGCUAACUCUGUGCCAGCAGCCGCGGUAAUACAGAGGUCCCAAGCGUUG
rnacentral:rRNA from 1 species